GCAAGUCGAACGGCAGCGCGGGGAGCUUGCUCCCUGGCGGCGAGUGGCGGACGGGUGAGUAACGCGUGGGAAUCUGCCCAUUAGUGGGGGACAACCCGAGGAAACUCGGGCUAAUACCGCAUACGCCCUACGGGGGAAAGCAGGGGAUCUUCGGACCUUGCGCUAUUGGAUGAGCCCGCGUCGGAUUAGCUUGUUGGUGAGGUAAAGGCUCACCAAGGCGACGAUCCGUAGCUGGUCUGAGAGGACGAUC
rnacentral:rRNA from 1 species